CCUCGUCAGGACCUGGCUCUGCCCUCAGAGUCAGUCUGGAUCCAGGAGUGAUUCAUCUUACACAGAUGAGAGGGGGAUAAAAGGGAAGGAAUAGUCAGGACAAAUGUGUUUUCAAUGGUGCUUAGCAGCAGGAGACCACUGAGACUUCAGAGCAACGCUACUGGAGUGUGACAUCAUAAUACCCCAAAUACUGGAGUCUCGCCCCUCUUGGAGUUUAUGGGCCAAUUUCUCCCAAGAUGUGUGAGCUCGUUGUGUGCCUCCAGUGGCGGCCAGCCCUGAGUGACAGCGCCUCGGCGUCUGGAAGCCCCACUGGGUUGUGAAAUGAACAAGGCCCUCCGUGUCCCCGAUCCGGCCGGGCAAGCCCUGGGGGCUCCCGGAGCAAGCAUCUCCCAGCCCCUAAAGGGCAGACAUAUAUCCUGCCUUUAAGACAAGACUACAAUUGCAAAUCCAAGAAUAUAAAUUACACUUUCAUCUUU